AUAUUAGAACCAUCCUGACAAACCUGAAACCUGACAGAUUAUUGUUGUCAAAGAUGACUGACAUCUUCCAGCAUAUGAACAGAUUUGGGAAGGAACAGACAGGCACAGUCAAGGGCUAUUGAGACCACUACGUCUGAAUCCAUCCACACCAACACUGCAAUAUCAAAUGAAUAAUGGACCCAUAAUUAUCUGUGUGUUACAUUCUUCACAUAAGACUUACUACUACAUUUGGUGCUCUAGUUGGUUGUUUAUGAUGGAUGGUGCCUUAACACAGGAUAAAGCAGUUAGCUGAUAAAUGAUGGUCAACCUCUACCUUCCUUUUUGUGAGAGCUACAAUAUGUUUUAACUGUCAAAGUGAGAGUUUUGUGCUGGCUGACUUUAGCCUAAGUACAAUAUUAGUGAUCAACAUUGUGGACUGUGAUUUUAUAUUGUGAUUUCUGUGGUGAUUCAUUCGGAAUUAUUCCACCAGGUAUUGGUAAGAGAGUCUACCAUACAGCACUUGUUUACCUAA